rnacentral:rRNA from 1 species
AUUGAACGCUGGUGGCAGGCCUAACACAUGCAAGUCGAACGGCGAGGCGGACGGGUGAGUGAUGCCUGGGAAUCUGCCCGGUAGUGGCGGAUACCGUCCGGAAACGGGCGCUAAUACCGCAUAAUAUCAGAUGAGCCUCGGUCGGCUUAGCUAGUUGGAGGGGUAAAGGCAUACCAAGGCGACGAUCCGUAACUGGUCGGAGAGGAUGAUCAGUCACACUGGAACUGAGAAACGGUCCAGACUCCUACGGGAGGCAGCAGGGGGGAAUAUUGGGCAAUGGGCGAAAGCCUGAUCAAGCCAUGCCGCGUGAGUGAAGAAGGUCUUCGGAUCGUAAAGCACUGUAAGUUGGGAGGCGGUACCAACAGAAUAAGCACCGGCUAACUUCGUGCCAGCAGCCGCGGUAAUUC